GUGCUUGCUUCGGCAGCACAUAUACUAAAAUGGGAAUGAUACAGAGAAGAUUAGCAUGGCCCCUGCACAAGGAUGACAUGCAAAUUCGUGAAGCAUUCCAUAUUAAA
rnacentral:snRNA from 1 species